AGCGAACGCUGGCGGCAGGCCUAACACAUGCAAGUCGAACGAACUCUUCGGAGUUAGUGGCGGACGGGUGAGUAACACGUGGGAACGUGCCUUUAGGUUCGGAAUAACUCAGGGAAACUUGAGCUAAUACCGGAUGUGCCCUUCGGGGGAAAGAUUUAUCGCCUUUAGAGCGGCCCGCGUCUGAUUAGCUAGUUGGUGAGGUAGAGGCUCACCAAGGCGACGAUCAGUAGCUGGUCUGAGAGGAUGAUCAGCCACAUUGGGACUGAGACACGGCCCAAACGCCGAAGGGAGGGAGGAGUGGGGAAGAUGGAACAAUGGGCGGAAGCAUGAUGCAGCAACGCCGCGUGCGGGAUGACGGCCGUGGGGGGGUAAACCGCAUGCGCCGGUGACGAAGCGGGAGUGAGGGUAAUGGGGAAAGAAGCACCGGCGAACUACGUG
rnacentral:rRNA from 1 species